rnacentral:rRNA from 1 species
AAGCAAUAAGUAAUCCACCUGGGGAGUACGAUCGCAAGAUUGAAACUCAAAGGGAUUGACGGGGGCCCGCACAAGCGGAGGAGCAUGUGGUUUAAUUCGAUGAUACGCGAGGAACCUUACCUGGGCUCGAACGUGAGAUGACUAUGGGUGAAAGCUCAUAUCUCUUCGGAGCAUUUUACGAGGUGCUGCAUGGUUGUCGUCAGCUCGUGCCGUGAGGUGUCGGGUUAAGUCCCAUAACGAGCGCAACCCCUACCUUUAGUUGCCAACAGGUCAUGCUGGGGACUCUAAAGGAACUGCCUACGCAAGUAGUGAGGAAGGCGGGGAUGACGUCAAAUCAGCACGGCCCUUACGUCCAGGGCUACACACGUGCUACAAUGGCCGAUACAGAGGGCAGCUACCUGGUGACAGGAUGCAAAUCUCGAAAGUCGGUCCUCA